rfam:Ciona savignyi cont_62830, whole genome shotgun sequence.
GCUUAUUACCAUUCCAGAUUGAAUAUACCCGAUCUCGUCUGAUCUCGGAAGUAAAGCAAUCUCGGGCUUGGUUAGUACUUGGAUGGGUGACCGCUUGGGAAUACCAAGUGUGAUAAGCA